AGUGAACGCUGGCGGUAGGCCUAACACAUGCAAGUCGAACGGCAGCACAGGAGAGCUUGCUCUCUGGGUGGCGAGUGGCGGACGGGUGAGGAAUACAUCGGAAUCUACUCUGUCGUGGGGGAUAACGUAGGGAAACUUACGCUAAUACCGCAUACGACCUACGGGUGAAAGUGGGGGACCGCAAGGCCUCACGCGAUUGAAUGAGCCGAUGUCGGAUUAGCUAGUUGGCGGGGUAAGGCCCACCAAGGCGACGAUCCGUAGCUGGUCUGAGAGGAUGAUCAGCCACACUGGAACUGAGACACGGUCCAGACUCCUACGGGAGGCAGCAGUGGGGAAUAUUGGACAAUGGGCGCAAGCCUGAUCCAGCCAUACCGCGUGAGUGAAGAAGGCCCUCGGGUUGUAAAGCUCUUUUGUUGGGAAAGAAAUCCCAUCGGUUAAUACCUGGUGGGAUGACGGUACCCAAAGAUAAGCACCGGCUAACUUCGUGCCAGCAGCCGAC
rnacentral:rRNA from 1 species